rnacentral:tRNA from 1 species
AUUUAUAUAGUAUAUUUAAUACAAUGCAUUUUCAAUGCAUAAAUGGAUAAAUAUCCUUUAAAUA